rnacentral:lncRNA from 1 species
ACUGUUUAAGAUAAAUUGAUUAAAACUUAGCUAACAUGUCUUAUUGAUAAUUAUCUUAAGCAAAUAGAAUCUAAGCUAAAUUGACUCUGAAAAUAAAAAAUUGAUUUGACCUUGAUAAAUCUUCCUAUUGCUUCACAUGCUUGUCCUUGAACCUUCUUGGUUAAUGAAACUAUCUCUUAAGUUCAAGUGACAUGUGUUUGCUUAUAUUUAGGCAAUCUCUUGAGUAAAGUGACUCAACAUUCAAUUGUUGUCAUAUCUUAUAACUGAGUCACCCAGUUAAGAAAUAUGCUAUAUGAAUGUUUUGUAUCUCGAAGAAACUAAUGACUUUCUUUCAAGAAAGAAAAGGAGUUUGUUAAUAAUGCAGGAUCCUUGAGCAAGAAAAUGAGAGAUUUCUACUUGAAGGAUAUCUCCAUGUAAGAUACAAUAAACCUUCACAUGCAAACAAG